CCAAACUGGCAUGGAACAAGGAGCCCUAACUGGAGCUAUUUUCCUUGAUUUUGCUAAGGCCUUUGACACAGUAGACCACGACAUUCUACUGCACAAACUCAAAAACUCAGGUAUUGGUGAUCAUUCUUUAAACUGGUUUCGAUCGUAUGUAUCGGAUCGCUCGCAAUAUGUGUCCAUUUCUGACAGUGACUCCCUCCCUCUCCCGGUCACAUGUGGUGUUCCCCAG